rnacentral:lncRNA from 1 species
UGGAGCCAGUCAAAGCCAGGCUGAGGAAAGCAAGUCGACAGGGAACGCCAAGAAAACAGGAUCGACACCAUCAUUUCCAGCCCCAGCCCAGCUCCAGGGAAUCAGCCCAGCAAACACAGACAGCCUGCAGCAGCUGGAGGAGACGGUCAGCUCGGACAACAGUGAAGAACCUGCUAAACACUAAAACACACAGAGAUCCUCAGAGUUGGUCAGGACUGAAGCAGCGGUGAGGACAGACCUCCUCCCUCCUUCCCUCCGUCUGACGGUUCUCCCUCACUCCUCCCCCUCUCCUCUUCGCUGCCCUGACAGCUCUGACCCCGCUGACCCCUGGAUAUUCCUGCAGCGAGUAAAGCCACCAGAGCAGGGCGGCGUGGGGGGAGGCCGGGGGGCUAAUUAAUGAGCUCUGAGAAUGAAACCGGGCUGCUGACGGGCAGUGGAGA